AUUGAACGCUGGCGGCAUGCCUUACACAUGCAAGUCGAACGGUAACAGGUCUUCGGAUGCUGACGAGUGGCGAACGGGUGAGUAAUACAUCGGAACGUGCCCGAGAGUGGGGGAUAACGAAGCGAAAGCUUUGCUAAUACCGCAUACGAUCUCAGGAUGAAAGCAGGGGACCGCAAGGCCUUGCGCUCACGGAGCGGCCGAUGGCAGAUUAGGUAGUUGGUGGGAUAAAAGCUUACCAAGCCGACGAUCUGUAGCUGGUCUGAGAGGACGACCAGCCACACUGGGACUGAGACACGGCCCAGACUCCUACGGGAGGCAGCAGUGGGGAAUUUUGGACAAUGGGCGCAAGCCUGAUCCAGCCAUGCCGCGUGCAGGAUGAAGGCCUUCGGGUUGUAAACUGCUUUUGUACGGAACGAAAAGACUCUGGUUAAUACCUGGGGUCCAUGACGGUACCGUAAGAAUAAGCACCGGCUAACUACGUGCCAGCAGCCGCGGUAAUACGUAGGGUGCGAGCGUUAAUCGGAAUUACUGGGCGUAAAGCGUGCGCAGGCGGUUAUGUAAGACAGAUGUGAAAUCCCCGGGCUCAACCUGGGAACUGCAUUUGUGACUGCGUAGCUAGAGUACGGCAGAGGGGGAUGGAAUUCCGCGUGUAGCAGUGAAAUGCGUAGAUAUGCGGAGGAACACCGAUGGCGAAGGCAAUCCCCUGGGCCUGUACUGACGCUCAUGCACGAAA
rnacentral:rRNA from 1 species